CGGUAAUCAACCCGUAGUUAUCAACAGUGACGAGGCCACGGAAAGGGGGGAGGAUGGGGGAUUUACAUUCCCCCUCUCCCAACCUCUCUUCAAGACCAAUUUUCCAGUUCUUCCAAAUCCGAUGACAAAAUGUUGCUAGGGGAGGGAGGGGGGGGGGGCAACAAACAAAUGUCUCGAGGGUAUCUAUCAAAAGUUCUAAGUUGCGUGCAUUUAAACCCAUUUCACAAAGUACUAUUUAUAUUACCCUUGACUGGCACAAGUGUUUGGGGUACAGAGAGAUUACAUGCCAUUGUCAGGCUCUUUGGCAUAAGAGUUUUAAUAGCAAAUACUUGACUAGCACUUUGGCGAUGACAAAUGUCUAAGCCUCUUCGGAUUAGCGAUGUUUAAAUCUGCAUCAUUUACUCCAUAUUUGGACUAUAAAAACAGUUUUAAAAUAAGUUUUUUUACUCUAAAAAAUAUUCGACAACUUAUCUCACUUGGCAUAUGUAGUUGGAUAUUAAUAGCACUGGCUCUGUGUUUUGUUUUAUUUUAGUUAUGUUAUGUUAAGUAAUUUAUGGCUAUUGGCUACUACUAAAAAGCGAUUCCUGUUCCUGUAUCGCUGUAUCGCUUUUUUGUAGUACGUAGCCGUAAUUUAGGAACGGACCAUUAGAUAUUUGAGAGGGGGGGGCAAAUACCAAAAAAAAAUUCGCGCACAGAAAAAAUCCUGAAAAAAAUAUCGUGCACAAGAAACCUAUGGUCCGUCCCUUAUAUAUUGCCAUUAUUGCGUAUGACAAGGACUGAUGGAUAAUCCAGUUAUGCUUAAGUUUAUUAAGUACUUCUCAUUAGGUUUUGGUGAGGAAUUUGUGCAAGACGCUCACGCGAUGCGAUCGAAGUCACGGAAAGUCUAGACUUGCAUGAAUAAACUAUUAUUACGGGGUUGUUAACGUGAUCUCGCUUUGUCGGAACGAGAUGUGAAGCGGAAUGAUUUUGAUGUAUUGAAAUAAAGCACGGUGUGUAAUUUAGCAUAGCCUGCAAAGCAGGUGUUGGGUGGGCCUGUCUGAAAUCCCCCCCCCCCCCUCAAAUUUAAUGCCUGCUUUGCAAGCUAGAUUAAUUUCUACUUUUCUAGCGACAGGUUAUAAUAUAUUUGUAA